GUCAGGGAGGGACCCAGGCCCAUCAAUAUCCCUGGUAUCCCAACCCCAGUAAGCUGUGAUUGAUACAACCAGCCCUCCUGAAGAGUCCCCAGUUCUAGCUCUGCCAUUUUCCUGGAGACAACUGCCAGCCAUCCAGCAGCAGUCUCAAUGCUCCGUGGAACUGCUGCCCUGACAGCUGCAACCGCCCAGAGUGUCCUGUGCCGCCCCAGGAGGUAUCUGCUCUGACCACUGGCAGCUUGACUUGAACUAAGCAGGAGAACAAAAUCUGGACCAGUCGUGGGUUCAAAUCAGAAGGCUUUGCUGGGCAUGGUGGUAAACGCCCGCAGUCCCAGCACUUGGGAGGUGGAGGGAGGAGCAAUGUUGUAAGUUCUCAUCCCAAGCUUCAACAACAGCACUUGCUUUAGAACAGCUAUUAACCCUUUUGCUGUUGGCCCUGAAGAGCUGCAGAGACCCACAGCUGACAGAAAUCGCCAACAGAGACCAGCAAUCAACUGGCAGCGCCCAGCACUCACCAGUGCCCAGCAGCAUUGGGCCCAGAGCUGUAAAUACCAGGGCCGGGGCCACCACUUACAGCCCAGAGCCACAAGCAGAGCAAGAGAACCCUCAGCCCCUGCCGCCACCCAUGCACCUUUUCCGCGUCUAGAACCUCAGCCACCUGCUCCUCCCACUUCCCAUCUCUCACCUGUGGGCCCCACCCUGCCCUCUGCCUGGGCAGACUCGACCGUCACCACUCUGCGCUCUGUCCCCUUCCACUGGCGUGGCAGUGUGCCACUUCUGCGCCCUCCAGCCAGCCCCUCAGACCCAUUCUGCUGCGUGACCUGAAGGCAUCCAAAACUGCCUGGUUCACCUGAACUCCACCCUCUUAACCACAAACACUGCAAGUUCCAUCCCUGCAUGUGAUUGCUCAAAAAUUAAUAAAAAUAUCACCUUUAACUCCUUUGCCUCAACUCCCAUCAUUACCAACUGAAACUGAUCUUAGCGCCUGAGGAGCAUGCUUGUUUUCUCA
ensembl:lncRNA